GAUGAACGCUGGCGGCGUGCCUAAUACAUGCAAGUCGAGCGAACAGACGAGGAGCUUGCUCCUCUGACGUUAGCGGCGGACGGGUGAGAAACACGUGGAUAACCUACCUAUAAGACUGGGAUAACUUCGGGAAACCGGAGCUAAUACCGGAUAAUAUAUUGAACCGCAUGGUUCAAUAGUGAAAGCCGGUUUUGCUGUCACUUAUAGAUGGAUCCGCGCCGCAUUAGCUAGUUGGUAAGGUAACGGCUUACCAAGGCAACGAUGCGUAGCCGACCUGAGAGGGUGAUCGGCCACACUGGAACUGAGACACGGUCCAGACUCCUACGGGAGGCAGCAGUAGGGAAUCUUCCGCAAUGGGCGAAAGCCUGACGGAGCAACGCCGCGUGAGUGAUGAAGGUCUUCGGAUCGUAAAACUCUGUUAUUAGGGAAGAACAAAUGUGUAAGUAACUAUGCACGUCUUGACGGUACCUAAUCAGAAAGCCACGGCUAACUACGUG
rnacentral:rRNA from 1 species